AACUCAAACAUAAUUAUUAGCUUUUACCAUAGAAAUUGCCUCUUCAUGAGUCAAAAGUAAUCAAAUACUGGCAAUUUCAUAUAGUUGAACCUAAUUUAAUUUAUGUUCAUUACAACUCUGAGGCAUGGAAUGAUUUUCCUGAUGUAUUCUGAUUUAUUCUCAUCUCUUCUUUCAUUCAUUCAACAGAUAUGUAUUAAGCAUUUACUACAUGCCCAGCACCAGCUAAGGAUACAGUAUAAAAAGCAUAGCCAAGGCUGCACAACUAUUCUAAUUGUAGUAGGAUAAAAGCUACAAAAGGACAGUGUGCAAUGCAAACUAGAGGAUGAACUGGCAAAUUUGUCCCAAGAAGGAUUGACCAGAGAGCCUCAUAUGCACAACAAGGAUAAUAAGACCAGGACACUAAGGAUUUACUGGCGAGGAUGAAUCUAUGGUUAUGAAGUACUUUCCAUGGUAUCCAACAUGUCCACCACGCCCAGGCAACUCUGUCAUACCAAAAUUUCUAAAGUUCCUGUGUCAUACUGCAUGGAACUCUCCUGCUCUUUCAGCCUUAGGUCAAAUGCAUGGCAAAGGAAUCCACUACGUAAGUAGAUAAAAGCUAGGUAUUUAAUUUUUAUAUAUAUUUUUAAAUUUUUACAUUAUAAAAUAAAUAUAUACUCAUAAAAAUUUUAAAAAAGAAAAAGAGAAAACCAUAAAGGAGAAUAUCCCACCACAGAAAGAUAAGCUUUGUUAGUAUACUUUGGUAUAUUCUCUUCGUUUUCUCUUUCCAAGUCCAUAUAUACAUUUUCUUAAAAGCAAAUUGGCAAUCAUGUGCCCAGAGUUUAUUCUCUUCCUUUAAAUUGUUAAUGUUAUGGUGCAUGUUAAUUACUGCCUCAUUAGUCUUUGAAAACAUGAUUUUUCAAUAACUCCACCCUAUUUCUGGAUACUAUGGUUCUAUCAAAUUUUUCCCAUUGCAAAUAAUACCUCAGUGAACAACUCCUGCCACUUUUACAAACCCAUAGACCAUUAUAAACAUAUAGUGUUUAUUAUAAACACCAUUAUAUACACUCAGUGAAAUAAUUAU
rnacentral:lncRNA from 1 species